rnacentral:lncRNA from 1 species
GCGCUCCUCCGGGCAGAGCGCGUGUGGCGGCCGAGCACAUGGGCCCGCGGGCCGGGCGGGCUCGGGGCGGCCGGGACGAGGAGGGGCGACGACGAGCUGCGAGCAAAGAUGUGCCCCGGGACCCCCGGCACCUUCCAGUGGAUUUCCUUGCGGAAAGGAUGUUGGCGGUCCCUGUGACCUGUGGAGACACGGCCAGAUCUGCCCUCCAGCCUGAUCUUUUGGCCAGAAGGAGAUUAAAAAGAUGCCCCUCAAGAUGGCUGUGCCUGUCAGCUGCAUGGAGCUUCGUUCAAGUAUUUUCUGAGCCUGAUGGAUUUACAGUGAUCUUCAGUGGUCUGGGGAAUAACGCUGGUGGAACCAUGCACUGGAAUGACACACGCCCGGCACAUUUCAGGAUACUAAAAGUGGUUUUAAGGGAGGCUGUGGCUGAAUGCCUCAUGGAUUCUUACAGCUUGGAUGUCCAUGGGGGACGAAGGACUGCAGCUGGCUGAGAGGGUUGAGAUCUCUGUUUACUUAGAUCUCUGCCAACUUCCUUUGGGUCUCCCUAUGGAAUGUAAGACCCCGACUCUUCCUGGUGAAGCAUCUGAUGCACGUUCCAUCCGGCGCUCAGCUGGGCUUGAGAAUCCUGUUACACCUGGGAUUUAGGCACUUUCAAUCUGAAAAAAUACAUAUCCUUUCAGCACUCUGGACGGACUUGAGAACUGUCCUUACGUGACCUAAAGCUGGAGUAUUUUGAGAUUGGAGAAUUAAGAGCCAGUCUUGGUGCUCUGUGUUCACCUGGUUCAUCUGAGGAGCUGCAUCUACCCUGCCCAUGCCAUAGAUCCUGCCCUGUUUGCUUCUCCUGUUGCUGCUAGUGGACAUGAGAAGGACAGAAUAACGGGCUCCCAGAUUCACAAGCCCCACCAAGAGGAUCACCCCAGGAACGCUUGGAGGCUGAGGAGUUCACUGAGGCUACUGCAUCUUGAGACUCAGGAUGAAGACCCAGCUUGGGGCUGUCAAAGGUUUUUUGCAUGUCUGACACCCAUGACUCCACCUGGACCUUAUGGCUCCACCCAGAAGCAAUUCAGCCCAACAGGAGGACAGCUUCAACCCAUUACGAUUUCAUCUCUGCCCCAACCACUCAGCAGCAAGCACCUGUUACCUGUCCACCCCCACCCCUUCCCCCAAACUGCCUUUGAAAAAUCCCUAACCUAUGAGCUUUGAAUAAGAUGAGUACGAACUUCAUCGCCCACGUGGCGUGGCCGGCCUCGUGUCUAUUAAAUUCUUUUUCUACUACAA